ACGGAGGGUGCAAGCGUUAUUCGGAAUUACUGGGCGUAAAGCGCGUGUAGGCGGUCCUGCAAGUCUGAUGUGAAAGCCCCGGGCUUAACCCGGGAAGUGCAUUGGAAACUGUGGGACUUGAGUACUGGAGAGGAUGGGGGAAUUCCCGGUGUAGGGGUGAAAGUGGUAGAGAUGGGGAGGAAUAUCAGUGGCGGAGGCGCCCAUCUGGACGAAAUCUGACGCUGAGACGCGAAAGCGUUGGGAGAAAACAG
rnacentral:rRNA from 1 species